CUGCGCGCUUUUCUAAAUCGGAAAAACCUGUCUGCAGCAGACCUUGGAGAGGUAGUUACGCCUGCGGCACAGGCAUACACAGGCUGCUGUGGACAUCGCCUGUCUUUGCAUAAGGGUUGCCAAAAGAUAAAAAAUAAAAAUGUGGAACCACAUCUUAAAGGACCAGGAAGCAAAGAAGGGGGACUCUUGGAGGAAAGGAAAAGGAGUAGAUUUCGGAGGAGUCUGCGUCCUCUCAAGGCAUCGUCAAGAACUGGGAAAAGCUUGCAGUGAACCCAUCUCCCCAGGCAAGGCAGUGUAGCUGCCCCCGGAGAACCUGGAAACAAGCAGCAGAGCACAUAUUCAAGGAUGGCGACCCUUUCUUUACAUUUAUUUAUCUUUUAUGUUUGGGUGUUUUGCCUGCCUGUAGCACAGCACUUUUGCUCGUGGUGAGAUGAGGGGUCUGGGUUUCCUUGAACUGGAGUUACUGAGAGCUGUGAAUCCUCAUGUAGGCACUGGGAAAUGAACCCUGUUCCACAGGAAAAACAGGCAGCGCUUUAGGAGCCUUACCUAUCUCCCCUGCAUCCCCCGCCCCCACCCCAAGCACACACUUGUGUGUGUGUGACAGGGCACUUCUAUGCACCUCUGGCUGGCCCGGACCUCUUUCUUCUCCACGUUGUUUGGGGUCAGUGUUUCCUCAUUCAGCAGCAGAAGCGAGCGAACAGCUGGGCUGCUGAGUGCUCCACUCCCUCAUAAAGGUUCUCAGCAGCUAGUUCUUGCUUUACCAACCCUAAAUAUAAGCGGCUGACUUUCCUCCCGUGAAAGCUGAGGGAGUGGCUUGCUUUAUAACUAUCUCUUCCUUUGCUACUGCUGUCAGGUUUUAUUUGUAACUUUAGAGAAAAGCUUCUGUUGGAGGAGAAAGAAAAUCCUCCAUAAAUGUUAUAAAAUGUUUAGAAUAAUGACUUGAGGUAAUUUAAAUGUCUUAUAAAUUUUAAGAGAAAAAAAUCCUCUGGGAAAGUAAACAGGGUAAGAUUAGAAAUAUUCUUAUUUAAAAUAUUGUUAUGUCUGCUGUCAUUCACCACAGGGACAGUCAUUAAAUGUUGUCUUUUUAAGUCA